rnacentral:rRNA from 1 species
GAUGAACGCUGGCGGCGUGCCUAAUACAUGCAAGUCGAGCGAAUGGAUUAAGAGCUUGCUCUUAUGAAGUUAGCGGCGGACGGGUGAGUAACACGUGGGUAACCUGCCCAUAAGACUGGGAUAACUCCGGGAAACCGGGGCUAAUACCGGAUAACAUUUUGAACCGCAUGGUUCGAAAUUGAAAGGCGGCUUCGGCCGUCACUUAUGGAUGGACCCGCGUCGCAUUGGCUAGUUGGUGAGGUAACGGCUCACCAAGGCAACGAUGCGUAGCCGAGCUGAGAGGGUGGUCGGCCACACUGGGAAUGAGAAACGGCCCCGACUCCUACGGGAGGGAGCAGUAGGGAAUCUUCCGCAAUGGACGAAAGUCUGACGGAGCAACGCCGCGUGAGUGAUGAAGGCUUUCGGGUCGUAAAACUCUGUUGUUAGGGAAGAACAAGUGCUAGUUGAAUAAGCUGGCACCUUGACGGUACCUAACCAGAAAGCCACGGCUAACUACGUGCCAGCAGCCGCAGUAA